UCGGUCCCCCAUCCGGAUCUCCCUCCCUGUCCCCCACCCCCCCCUCCUCGUCGCCUUCUCCCCUGCAACUCCCCAGAAAUACCUGGAAGCCCCAGCUUAAAGCUUCCUUCAAUGGCGUCUUCUUCACCGUCUUCCCCUCUUCACUGAGUGAAGCUCCCUCUCUCUCUCUCAGUCACUCACUCUGUGCGUCUCUGAGUCUGCCGUCGCGUCAGCAGCAUGCGUCGUUCCUGUUCCUCCUCUUGCCAUGUCUCCCCGUAGGAGUGCGAGGUCAAGCUCUUCCCCCCAUGAUCUCGUCCUCUGUGUGUGUGUGCCGGAAUCUGUAGAUAUGCAGUUGCGUGUGUAGGUGGAAAAUACGAGAGAUAUAUGGUGUUCUUCGCUGGAAGAGCUUGAGUUGGGGGGGUUUCGUAGGUAGGAGCUGCCUUCUGCGUUCACAGAGAAGAAGCCUCGGGUCCUCUUCUCUCUGGGGUGGCGGCGGCGCGUGGCUGGGAAUGUUUUAUCCUUCCAGCUCGCUCGCUACCUCUUGGUUGUUUUAUAAAUGCCGUUUACCUGUCGUUCCUGGAGUAUCUUCC
rnacentral:lncRNA from 1 species